GACGAACGCUGGCGGCGUGCCUAAUACAUGCAAGUAGAACGCUGAAGGAGGAGCUUGCUCUUCUGGAUGAGUUGCGAACGGGUGAGUAACGCGUAGGUAACCUGCCUGGUAGCGGGGGAUAACUACUGGAAACGAUAGCUAAUACCGCAUAACAGUAGAUGUUGCAUGACAUUUCCUUAAAAGGUGCAAUUGCCUGACUACCAGAUGGACCUGCGUUGUUUUAGCUAGUUGUCGGGGUAACGGCUCACCAAGGCGACGAUGCAUAGCCGACCUGAGAGGGUGGUCGUCGACUCGGGGAGUGAGACUCGGCCCAGACGCUUACCGGAGGCAGCAGUACGGAAUCGUCGGAAAUGUACGGAAGUCUGACCGGGCAACGCGGCAGGAUUGAAGAAGGUUGUCGGAUCGUAAAGCUCUGUUGUAAGAGAAGAACUGGUGUGGGAGUGGAAAGUUCACACUGUGACGGUAUCUUACCAGAAAUGGACGGCUAACUACGUG
rnacentral:rRNA from 1 species